GCGGUCCGCAUCACAGAAGGGCGGGGGGGUUUCCGCCGCCCCGGACCACGCGAGAUCUCACCGCUCGCGGCUGCUGUUUUCCCCCAGUUGGGGCUGAAGUGUCGCGAGAAGACAUCACAACGCUCCAACGUCAAACAGACACCCGUGAUCGCCUGGGUGUUUUUCCAGAAAUCGGGUUUUGUUAAAACUCUGACUUUGUUAGCCCUGAGAGGAGACAGCGGAGAAAGACAGUGAGGAGUAUCCAUGGUAACUGACUGGCAGGUUUUCUUUAACAAACCCUGAGCUUCUCCUGAUCUGAGUCUGAACUGUCCAACAAGAGCGUGUCCUCCCCCCGUCGACCCGAUCGAUAUGGAAGCAGAAUGAAUUGUGUAGCCUUACAUCACAGAGGAUCUAGACCUCGUGAAGAUGCUUCCAUUCCUAGACGACGACGACGACUGGUAGAACUUUACUACCUGAACAAUGGAUCACAUAUCUGAACAAUAUUCUCCGGCCUUGCUUCCAACACUCCAUAUGGCGACAUGCUCUCCGACCGGAGAUCAUUCUUUGCAUUGCCCCUGGAUUUUUUUCUUCCGAACAAUGUUCCUGUGUUCUGGCUCAAAGCUGCUCUGCGUCAGAGGGGGGAUGGUGGUGCAGCCCACAACCCGUUAUGCAGAUUAUCUGAAUAGAAGUCAAAUGUUCAUCUAAUAAACAGGAUAUAUAAGGACA